UAUCUGCAGCUUGCUCUCAAAUUAUUUGGAAAGAGUGUACAGAGAGAUACAUGGACAUAAAGAGAGAGAAAGAAUAAUAAAACAAAUUUGACAAAAUGUCAACAGUUGGAGAAUAUGAGUUGAGUACAUAGGAAUCCUUUGUUCAAUUCUUGUGACUUUUCUAUAAAUUUAAAAUUAUUUUAAAAUUUUGAAAAGACAUUUUAUUGGGUUGAACCAUUACAUAUUUGGUUAUAUUUAUUACUGCAGCCUAGCCUACCCCAAGUGAUACAGUAUGUAACUUUUUUGCCAAGUAGGAGUUAGACUGUAUCAUUAACACAACAAAUAUUUCACGAGAGCCCUCUGUAUGCCAGGCACUGUGCCAGGGAUACAAGACAGGAGAAGACAGGUACGUCGCUGCUCUCAUGGAGUUUCUAGUGGGAUAUGGUGGAUAGUAAACAAAUUACAUAAUUUUUUAUCACAAUUACGGUAAGUGCUACGGGGAAGGAUGUAUAACAGCGUGGUCUAAUCUCAUGUGGGGGUGUCAGGGAAGGUUUCUCCAAAGAAAUGAUCCUGCCUUCAGGCUUUGCCACUCUGCCCACCUAUCUGGUGUCUCAAAGUCAACAUCCCCCUGGAACAGUCCUUAACUAACAAUUGAUGGGUGUGGGGGUAUAACUAUCCGAGCUCCCUCAUCCUUUUUAUGGGAGAAAUCUGAGCUGUGCAUUUUUCAAGGUCUCUCAAAUUAUGGGAUUAAUCUCUAGUUGCCCACUGGUAGCUGAACCAAUAGCUCAUUCCUUAUUUGCUGCCUUUCUUUCCUUAGAUUACCUCCCUCCUUACCUACUCGUAUUCCUUGCACCUCCCAACAAAAUGCUAGUACUCAAUUCCUUGGCUCAGACUCUGCUCUGGGGGAACCCCAGGACAGAAGGGUUGUGAGCAAAGCAAUCCUUGGACAAGAACUAUGCUCCAACAAGACACAUCUUGCAACCCACCCAGGAGAACUGGAGGGACCCCCUCUACCCUCCUGCCUACAUAAUCCAGUGUUUUCCCCUUCCCACUCAUCACAGCGUCUCAGCUCUGAGGAUUCCAAAGCACCUCAAAUGUGCAGCUUCACUAUUUCACAGGACGCAGAAUCCAUUUUGUUUUAUCUCUUUCCAGACAGUUGGUUUGUUUUAAUGGACUGCUCUUCUGCCUGUGCAUAAUUCUUCUCUAAAUUAAAUUCUCUUCUCAGCCCCACAUAAUACACACUGGGAUGUCAGCUCAUUACUUUUACAUCCUCCCAUGUUCUGUUUAUGCAAAGGUUUAAUUAACUAUGAAUUGCUGUGUAGGCAACAGGAAAAGCCCGCCCCCCAGCUGGCUGUGUGGCUCAACUCUGCGAGGAAAGAGAAGCCAUUGAGAGUGCUGUGGGAAAGGGCCAGAAUGUAAGGUGAGAGCAAGGAGAUUUUAAUCCUCUCACUACCACUUUCAGUGAUUUUUUUAUUCACUAAAUGUUUGUAAGUUGUUGCAGUGUGCUGAGCAUCAUUUGAGAUGUGGGAGUGGUGAAUCAGAGAGGCAUGAGUCCUGUCCCCACAGAGUUUACAACCUACCAGGGGAAAUAGACAAAUAAGUGUCUUAGCUGUCUAUUGCUGCAUAACAAAUUACCCAAUACUUGCUUCAAACAACAACAACCAUUUGUCAUCUCUCAUAGUCUCAAUUCCAAUAUCUCAAACAGGAUCACAAGUGGAUCAGGAACUCAGGAGAGGCUUGGCUGGGCAGUUCUGGUUGAAGGUCUCUUGUGAGAUUUCAGUUAGAGUCACCCAGGCUGCAGUCAUCUGAAGGCUCACCUGGGCUGAUGGAUCCACUUCCAAGGUGGCUCAUUCACGUGGCUGGCAAGUUGAUGGUGCUUGUUAGUAGGAGGCCCCAGUCACUCUUUAUGUGGGCUUCUCCUUGGGAUGCUUGAGGGUCCCCAUGGUAAAGCAGCUGGCUUCCCUAAGCAGGAAAGAGCUAUGCCUUUAUGACCUAGCCUUGAAAGUCAGAUGGCAUCAUUUCUGCUAUACUCUUAGUCACACAGACCAGCAUGAUUCAAUGUGGGAGGAGACUGCACGAUGGCAUGAACGCUGGGAGGAGCCUCUUGACAUCUGUGAAAUUAGUGGAUGUGAAUACAAAAGAAGAGGAGGAAGAAUGGUCUCUCACCUAUUUCUGCAAGCCAAGUAUGUUUCAGCCUCAGCUCUGACCCAGCUGGGACCACAGUCGCCCAAAACGUAUGGAUCACACGAGGGGGUUUUUCUAUGAAUUGUUAUCUGUCACACAAGAGCCCUUUUCUCCAGGCUAGAGUUCUUCUGACCAGUCAGAAUCUCCUACCUCCAACCCUCCGCCCCAGAUUCCUUUUGGUCUCUGACGAAAUGAGGGUCUUUCCUCUCUGGUCAGAUGGCCAGCUGCAGCAUGGGCUUCUGGUCCCAGAACACAAGCUAAUCCCCAGAGCAAUGCCUAUAGCUUACCCUGUGGAAGGGCUGGUCCGCGGCAAGCACAGGCCUCCAGCCUCCCCGGAGAACACCAGGCAGGAAGAGGAAAUCCAGAGAACUCAUCUCCGCGUCUAAGACUGAGGUUGUUGCGACUCCAUUGCCUUGCUUGGGUUGUACCCAGAACAAACAUGUAAGGAGCCACGUCAGUGGCCCCAGCGGGAGGAGUAGGGUGUAUCAAUCAGAGUCCCAACAGGAAACAAACUCACCCCAGAUGGUUCAAACAAAGAGACCUUAAUAAAGAGAGUCCUUCACAUCAGUACUUCAUUCGUUCUUAUGGCUGAAUAAUAUUCUACUGUGUGGGUAUACCACAAUCUCCAUAAUUCUUAGCUCCGUAAGCGAGUGAUUCUCAAAAUGCAGUCUCCAGACCAGCAGCAGCCGCA
ensembl:lncRNA